CAAAAAAAAAAAAAAAAGUUAAAUGUCUCAGGUAUCUUGAAGCCAUAAAAGUUUCAUAGAGUGUCUUGGCUGCCCAAGAAUUGCUUCUUUUAUUUUUUUUAUUUUUCUAACUUGUAGGGAAAGGUCUAGUAUUUAAGAUACCUGGAUUUUCCAGAACAUAAGAAUCCCUCAGCCAACAUUUAUUAUGUUUCUUGCAAUUGAGAGCCAAAGACAAGCAGUUCUUGUGUGGUUCAAAGGUAGCAGCAUUAUGCCCUAGCGACAACAAGCUGUGUUUAUCUUGGCCCUGGUGGAGCCUGGGCACCAUGUUAGACAUUGUGGUCUUGGCAGUAAAACCCUUACUUUCCCAGCCACAGGCCUACUAGCUGAGAAAGCCAAUUCUAAGCACUGAGCUAGCUCUCCCAAGGUCUCAGAAUGUGGUCACUAGACUUCAGUCAAAGGUUUCAGGAUCCCUGUUCUGUCUGUCCUACAGUCUUCAGAGAAUUGAGCUUUCAUUCUGAAAUGAGGAAAUCUUCAAUGCUGUUUAUUUUGGUUAUUAUGUGAUAAACAUGCAAGUUUGUCAUUGCAGAAAUAAAUGCUAAUGAAGUUAAAGGGUAAGUCUAGAGAAGAGGUGGAAUGGAAAUCAAAGCCUGCAUGAGCAGCAAGAGCUGAUGUCUGCUGCUACCAGUAGGUUAUCAGCCUUUGGAUGAUUCCCUUCCUACUAAUCUCUCUUCCUGAAUAUUUUGGCUUUUAAAUGGCAAGCAGACAGACUUCGUUCCAGUAACAGUCCAUUGAAGGAAACAACCAUUUCUGUGGUUCUGUUGCCAAGAAUGUCUAACCCUGAUCCAUCUUUGAGAAAACAUCAGACGAAUUCAUAUUGAUGAAAUCAGCAAUAUAACUGAUUGAUGCUCUUUAAAAAUAUACAAGGUCAUAAAGGACAAAAUGUGGUGUGA